rnacentral:rRNA from 1 species
AUGCGAGUCUUUGCAGUAAUGCAAGGCGGACUGCUCAGUAACACGUAGUCAACUUAACCUAUGGAUGGGUAUAACCUCGGGAAACUGAGAAUAAUUCCCAAUAGAUCAUUUAUCCUGGAAUGGUUGAUGAUUGAAAUGAUUCGUCGCCAUAGGAUAGGACUGCGGCCUAUCAGCUUGUUGGUGAGGUAAAGGCCCACCAAGGCUAUUACAGGUACGGGCUCUGAGAGGAGAAGCCCGGAGAUGGGUACUGAGACACGGACCCAGGCCCUAUGGGGCGCAGCAGGCGAGAAAACUUUGCAAUGUGCGAAAGCACGACAAGGUUAAUCCGAGUGAUUUCUGCUAAAGGAAUCUUUUGCCAGUCCUAAAAACACUGGUGAAUAAGGGGUGGGCAAGUUCUGGUGUCAGCCGCCGCGGUAAAACCAGCACCUCAAGUUGUCAGGAGGAUUAUUGGGCCUAAAGCAUCCGUAGCCGGCUCUGUUAGUUUUCGGUUAAAUCCAUAUGCUCAACAUAUGGGCUGUCGAAAAUACUGCAGAGCUAGGGAAUGGGAGAGGUAGACGGUACUUGGUAGGAAGGGGUAAAAUCCUUUGAUCUAUCGAUGACC